rnacentral:rRNA from 1 species
CUAGAGACCGGCGCACGGGUGCGUAACGCGUAUGCAAUCUACCUUUCACAAAGGGAUAGCCCAGAGAAAUUUGGAUUAAUACCUUAUAGUAAUACGACUUGGCAUCAAGAUGUAUUUAAAGAUUUAUCGGUGAAAGAUGAGCAUGCGUCCCAUUAGCUUGUUGGUAAGGUAACGGCUUACCAAGGCAACGAUGGGUAGGGGUCCUGAGAGGGAGAUCCCCCACACUGGUACUGAGACACGGACCAGACUCCUACGGGAGGCAGCAGUGAGGAAUAUUGGACAAUGGGCGCAAGCCUGAUCCAGCCAUGCCGCGUGCAGGAUGACGGUCCUAUGGAUUGUAAACUGCUUUUGUACAGGAAGAAACCCUUUCACGUGUGGAAGAUUGACGGUACUGUAAGAAUAAGGAUCGGCUAACUCCGUG